rnacentral:misc_RNA from 1 species
UAUAAACUUUUUAAAACUCAGAGCAUUACCAAAAAUAUAGUAUAUAAAAAUUCUUUGGUAGGGCAUAAAAGCAAUAUAUAUAAUUGCCUUAACAAUUAGUAGACUAGGUUUGAAAUAGCCUAACUCCCUACCAAAGCAACAGAUAAGUUCACAAAGGUUAUGAGUAAAAUACUCAGUAAUGAUCCCUCCGCUGGUUCACCAACGGAGA